GCGCCAUGGAGGGUGAUAGCCCCGUAAAAGUAUCCCUUUUCCUUUUAUCCAUUCCCUCCAAAGAGUCGAGUUGUUUGGGAAUGCAGCUCUAAGUGGGUGGUAAAUUCCAUCUAAAGCUAAAUAUUGGCGAGAGACCGAUAGCGAACAAGUACAGUGAUGGAAAGAUGAAAAGCACUUUGAAAAGAGAGUGAAAAAGUACGUGAAAUUGUUGAAAGGGAAGGGCUUGCAAGCAGACACAACCUCGGUUGGGCCAGCAUCGGAGUGGGGGGAGACAAAAAAGAAAAGGAAUGUAACUCUUU
rnacentral:rRNA from 1 species